GGCGGACGGGUGAGUAACGCGUGAGGAACCUGCCUUGGAGAGGGGAAUAACACAGAGAAAUUUGUGCUAAUACCGCAUGAUGCAGUUGGGUCGCAUGGCUCUGACUGCCAAAGAUUUAUCGCUCUGAGACGGCCUCGCGUCUGAUUAGCUAGUUGGUAGGGUAACGGCCUACCAAGGCGACGAUCAGUAGCCGGACUGAGAGGUUGACCGGCCACAUUGGGACUGAGACACGGUCCAAACUCCUACGGGAGGCAGCAGUGAGGAAUAUUGGUCAAUGGUCGGCAGACUGAACCAGCCAAGUCGCGUGAGGGAAGACGGCCCUACGGGUUGUAAACCUCUUUUGUCGGAGAGUAAAGUGCGCUACGCGUAGCGUAUUGCAAGUAUCCGAAGAAAAAGCAUCGGCUAACUCCGUGCCAGCAGCCGCGGUAAUACGGAGGAUGCGAGCGUUAUCCGGAUUUAUUGGGUUUAAAGGGUGCGUAGGCGGCACGCCAAGUCAGCGGUGAAAUUUCCGGGCUCAACCCGGACUGUGCCGUUGAAACUGGCGAGCUAGAGUGCACAAGAGGCAGGCGGAAUGCGUGGUGUAGCGGUGAAAUGCAUAGAUAUCACGCAGAACCCCGAUUGCGAAGGCAGCCUGCUAGGGUGCGACAGACGCUGAGGCACGAAAGUGUGGGUAUCAAACAGGAUUAGAUACCCUGGUAGUCCACACAGUAAACGAUGAAUACUCGCUGUUUGCGAUAUACAGCAAGCGGCCAAGCGAAAGCAUUAAGUAUUCCACCUGGGGAGUACGCCGGCAACGGUGAAACUCAAAGGAAUUGACGGGGGCCCGCACAAGCGGAGGAACAUGUGGUUUAAUUCGAUGAUACGCGAGGAACCUUACCCGGGCUUAAAUUGCAACUGACGGAUUUGGAAACAGAUCUUCCUUCGGGCAGUUGUGAAGGUGCUGCAUGGUUGUCGUCAGCUCGUGCCGUGAGGUGUCGGCUUAAGUGCCAUAACGAGCGCAACCCUUAUCUUUAGUUACUAACAGGUCAUGCUGAGGACUCUAGAGAGACUGCCGUCGUAAGAUGUGAGGAAGGUGGGGAUGACGUCAAAUCAGCACGGCCCUUACGUCCGGGGCUACACACGUGUUACAAUGGGGGGUACAGAAGGCAGCUACACAGCGAUGUGAUGCUAAUCCCAAAAGCCUCUCUCAGUUCGGAUUGGAGUCUGCAACCCGACUCCAUGAAGCUGGAUUCGCUAGUAAUCGCGCAUCAGCCACGGCGCGGUGAAUACGUUCCCGGGCCUUGUACACAGCGCCCGUCAAG
rnacentral:rRNA from 1 species